AGCGUACUAAACUCGUCACUUCUUUCUCGUUAUUACUUUAUCAGCCAACGCAAAAAGUGCCUUCCUUGCAGGUGAAUCAGGGAGACACAGAAGGGAAUCUUUGGCUUUUUUGAUAUAUUCUUUUGCCCAAGUGAUGGUUUGCUCGAUAGCAUCAGUGCACUCAACCAAAGAACGAGCCUAAAUUAUAUGUUAGCAAUUGAAAAUUAACGAUAGAGAAAAGGAAAUCAAAUAAAUAAAUAAAACUUCAGCUUCUCUUACCCGUUGGAUAUCAGAAGGAUGAUUGAAUCUAUUCACAAUCAUUGCACCAAGUUCUGGAUACUUUUUCCAUGCAAAGAGGACGGGAGCUGUAGCCAACCCUAGCUUCAAAUCUGCACCAGCCGCCUUUCCUAAAGUAUCAUCUUUCGACGUAUAGUCCAACACGUCAUCCAUUAGUUGAAAAGCAGUACCAAUGCAUCGACCGUAUUCUCCAGCAGCUGUUGCUACAGUAGGAGAACAUUGUCCGAGGAUUGUAGAAGCCUUGCAGCUUUUGGAAAUUAAACUGGCUGUUUUCAAAAAACUUUUUUCAAUAUAAUAGUCAAAAUUUGAUUGUUUUAUUUCCAAAGAUGAAGGAUCCAUAGUAUUUUUUAGCUGCAAAAACUCACCUCGAACCAAGUCUGCUAUCACUGUAGCUAACAACUCCGUAACUUGGGGAUUUCGAAGGCGGGCCAUAGCAGUCGAAGCCCGUGCAAGGAUGAAAUUACCCGCAAGGAUUGACCGUCGAUUACCGAAAGCAACAUUGCUUGAAGGUGAGCCUCUACGGACAUUAGCGUGAUCAAUCACAUCGUCAUGCAGCAAACUUGCUAUAUGGAUCAUCUCGGUUAUUUGUGCUAAUCUCAAUUGAGAAGGAAGAAUUUGACCCGUCGAAAAUGAUCUUAAAUCAUCAUCAUCAAUAUAUUUGUCGCCCACUACGGACCGAUCAAUACCAUGGCACAAGCUUGUAGCUUUGGACAUCAGCAAAACAAGAGAAGGACGCAUUUGUUUUCCUUGAGCAAUGGUAUAAUAUUUAGAACACUCUUCAAGAAAUUCUGAAUUUGAAUUCAGCAUUUGACGAAUCCCUGGUGAGAUUUGUUCCAACUCGUUUUUAAUUAAAUGUGAAGCAUUGCGGUUCGUAGUAGAAAACCGAAGAACAGUCGAACGGACUUUUCCAAGACUCCAUAAUUUCCUCAUAUGUUUUAAAUAUACAUACUGAAUCAUUUCAUUUCUUAUUUUCAAAAGUAACUAAAUGAUGAAGUUAGAGUUGGGAUGGUUUGUAUAUCAUGGUAUUUACCGUGAUUUCGCUUAGAUAUGACGUCGCUUUGAUCAGAUAAGUUUAUUUCAAAGAACGGAAGAAUCAUUAAAUAGUUUGUAAACAAACAAAACAUUUUUUAAUUAUCGUUUUUUCUUCAUACCAUUCUGAUCUUAAGUAUUUUUUCUGAAGAAUUCUGUUGAGUCAAGCAGGAUAUUGAGCAUCUUCCUCAGAGGCCAAAUUCAUUAUCAAAAC